rnacentral:rRNA from 1 species
AGAGUUUGAUCCUGGCUCAGAGCGAACGCUGGCGGCAGGCUUAACACAUGCAAGUCGAACGGGUACCUUCGGGUGCUAGUGGCAGACGGGUGAGUAACACGUGGGAACGUACCUUUCGGUUCGGAAUAAUUCAGGGAAACUUGGACUAAUACCGGAUACGCCCUUUGGGGGAAAGAUUUAUCGCCGAUAGAUCGGCCCGCGUCUGAUUAGCUAGUUGGUGAGGUAAUGGCUCACCAAGGCGACGAUCAGUAGCUGGUCUGAGAGGAUGAUCAGCCACACUGGGACUGAGACACGGCCCAGACUCCUACGGGAGGCAGCAGUGGGGAAUAUUGGACAAUGGGCGCAAGCCUGAUCCAGCCAUGCCGCGUGUGUGAUGAAGGCCUUAGGGUUGUAAAGCACUUUUGUCCGGGAAGAUAAUGACUGUACCGGAAGAAUAAGCCCCGGCUAACUUCGUGCCAGCCGCCGCGGUAAUAC